AGCCAUGUGGUGAGCACAAAGCCAACUAUUCUUUCGCCUUUUUCUAAAGAAUACCGUGUGCUCUCCACUCAAUAUGGCGUGCGCCCAUUUUUGAGAGGUGACUUUCUUAAGAAAGUCC